AUUUGCUAGAGCAUGCCUUUGAUGCAAUUCUGGAAGUUGGUCAUAUACCUCAUCCAUCAUUCUUCUUUGAGAUUCUGUGUCAAGCUACAUGUCAACAUGAUCAUGAAAGAGCCCUUGCUCUAAUUAAAUCAAUGGUUCAUGUUCCAUUUCAAGUCAGUAAACAAGAGUGGAUUGACCUAUUCAACAGCAACAAUGGAAGAAUUAGCCAUUCUAGUUUGAGAGAAUUAUUGGAUGUGAUAUGCAGCCA
rnacentral:misc_RNA from 1 species